rnacentral:rRNA from 1 species
GUUAUAUGGUCAAGCGAAUAAGCGCACACGGUGGAUGCCUAGGCGGUCAGAGGCGAUGAAGGACGUGGUAGCCUGCGAAAAGUGUCGGGGAGCUGGCAACAAGCUUUGAUCCGGCAAUAUCCGAAUGGGGAAACCCACUGCUUCGGCAGUAUCCUGCAGUGAAUUCAUAGCUGCUGGAAGCGAACCCGGUGAACUGAAAUAUCUAAGUAACCAGAGGAAAAGAAAUCAACCGAGAUUCCCUAAGUAGUGACGAGCGAACGGGGAACAGCCCUUAAGCUGGAAUGGCUUUAGAAAAACAAUCUGGAAAGAUUGGCCAUAGAAGGUGAUAGCCCUGUAUUUAAAAGGGCCACUCCAGUGAAGACGAGUAGGGCGGGGCACGUGAAACCCUGUCUGAAUAUGGGGGGACCAUCCUCCAAGGCUAAAUACUCCUGACCGACCGAUAGUGAACCAGUACCGUGAGGGAAAGGCGAAAAGAACCCCGGAGAGGGGAGUGAAAUAGAUCCUGAAACCGUGUGCGUACAAGCAGUAGGAGCUCGCAAGAGUGACUGCGUACCUUUUGUAUAAUGGGUCAGCGACUUACUGUUCGUGGCAAGCUUAACCGUAUAGGGGAGGCGAAGGGAAACCGAGUCUGAUAAGGGCGCAUAGUCGCGGGCAGUAGACCCGAAACCGGGUGAUCUAGUCAUGGCCAGGGUGAAGGUGCCGUAACAGGUACUGGAGGCCCGAACCCACGUCUGUUGCAAAAGACGGGGAUGAGCUGUGAUUAGGAGUGAAAAGCUAAUCGAACCCGGAGAUAGCUGGUUCUCCUCGAAAGCUAUUUAGGUAGCGCCUCAUAUGUAUCCUCUCGGGGGUAGAGCACUGUUAUGGCUAGGGGGUCAUCGCGACUUACCAAACCAUUGCAAACUCCGAAUACCGAGACGGACUGUAUGGGAGACACACGGCGGGUGCUAACGUCCGUCGUGAAAAGGGAAACAACCCAGACCCACAGCUAAGGUCCCAAAUUCACUGCUAAGUGGAAAACGAUGUGGAAAGGCAUAGACAGCCAGGAGGUUGGCUUAGAAGCAGCCACCCUUUAAAGAAAGCGUAAUAGCUCACUGGUCGAGUCGGUCUGCGCGGAAGAUUUAACGGGGCUAAGCAGUGAACCGAAGCUUGGGGUGCAUAAAACGUGUUUUAUGCGCGGUAGAGGAGCGUUCCGUAAGCCUGCGAAGGUGGAUUGAGAAGUCUGCUGGAGGUAUCGGAAGUGCGAAUGCUGACAUGAGUAACGAUAAUGCGGGUGAAAAGCCCGCACGCCGAAAGCCCAAGGUUUCCUUGCGCAACGUUAAUCGACGCAGGGUUAGUCGGUCCCUAAGGCGAGGGCGAAAGCCGUAGUCGAUGGGAAGCAGGUUAAUAUUCCUGCACCUCGCGUGAGUGCGAUGGAGGGACGGAGAAGGUUAGGUGUACCGGGCGUUGGUUGUCCCGGGGAAAGGCGGUAGGUUUGGAUCUUUGGCAAAUCCGGGAUCCUUUAAGACCGAGCACCGAGACGAGCCUUUUUGGCAAAGUCACUGAUACCACGCUUCCAGGAAAAGCUCCUAAGCUUCAGCUCACGAAGACCGUACCGUAAACCGACACAGGUGGGUAGGAUGAGAAUUCUCAGGCGCUUGAGAGAACUCGGGUGAAGGAACUAGGCAACAUGGCACCGUAACUUCGGGAGAAGGUGCACCCUUUUUGGUGGCUCAUGCGAGCUAUAGCUGAAGAGGGUCGCAGAAACCAGGCCGCUGCGACUGUUUAUCAAAAACACAGCACUCUGCAAACACGAAAGUGGACGUAUAGGGUGUGACGCCUGCCCGGUGCUGGAAGGUUAAUUGAUGGGGUCAGCCGCAAGGCGAAGCUCUUGAUCGAAGCCCCAGUAAACGGCGGCCGUAACUAUAACGGUCCUAAGGUAGCGAAAUUCCUUGUCGGGUAAGUUCCGACCUGCACGAAUGGCGUAACGACAGCGGCGCUGUCUCCACCCGAGACUCAGUGAAAUUGAAAUCGCUGUGAAGAUGCAGCGUUCCCGUGGCAAGACGGAAAGACCCCGUGAACCUUUACUAUAGCUUUACACUGAACGUUGAGUUCGUCUGUGUAGGAUAGGUGGGAGGCUAUGAAACUGUGGCGCUAGCUGCAGUGGAGCCAUCCUUGAAAUACCACCCUGUCGUGCUUGACGUUCUAACCUAGGUCCGUUAUCCGGAUCAGGGACCGUGUAUGGUGGGUAGUUUGACUGGGGCGGUCUCCUCCUAAAGAGUAACGGAGGAGCACGAAGGUACGCUCAGCGCGGUCGGACAUCGCGCACUGUGUGCAAAGGCAUAAGCGUGCUUGACUGCAAGAUCGACGGAUCAAGCAGGUACGAAAGUAGGUCUUAGUGAUCCGGUGGUUCUGUAUGGAAGGGCCAUCGCUCAACGGAUAAAAGGUACUCCGGGGAUAACAGGCUGAUACCGCCCAAGAGUUCAUAUCGACGGCGGUGUUUGGCACCUCGAUGUCGGCUCAUCACAUCCUGGGGCUGUAGUCGGUCCCAAGGGUAUGGCUGUUCGCCAUUUAAAGUGGUACGCGAGCUGGGUUCAGAACGUCGUGAGACAGUUCGGUCCCUAUCUGCCAUGGGCGUUGGAAGUUUGAGAGGAGCUGCUCCUAGUACGAGAGGACCGGAGUGGACGAACCUCUGGUGUUCCGGUUGUCACGCCAGUGGCAUUGCCGGGUAGCUAUGUUCGGAAGCGAUAACCGCUGAAAGCAUCUAAGCGGGAAGCGCGCCUCAAGAUGAGACUUCCCGGGGCACAAGCCCCCUAAAGGAACCAUGUAGACUACGUGGUUGAUAGGUCAGGUGUGUAAGUACAGCAAUGUAUUGAGCUAACUGAUACUAAUGAUCCGUGCGGCUUGACCAUAUAACCUCA